UUUCAGCUAGAGUUUGAUAGAGGAAAGCAGAAUUUCUAGUGUAGAGGUGAAAUUCGUAGAUAUUAGAAAGAAUACCAAUUGCGAAGGCAGCUUUCUGGAUCAUUACUGACACUGAGGAACGAAAGCAUGGGUAGCGAAGAGGAUUAGAUACCCUCGUAGUCCAUGCCGUAAACGAUGUGUGUUAGACGUUGGAAAUUUAUUUUCAGUGUCGCAGCGAAAGCAAUAAACACACCGCCUGGGGAGUACGACCGCAAGGUUAAAACUCAAAUGAAUUGACGGGGACCCGCACAAGUAGUGGAGCAUGUGGUUUAAUUCGAAGAUACGCGCAGAACCUUACCAACACCUGACAUGUUCGUCGCGACUUUAAGAGAUUAAAGUUUUCGGUUCGGCCGGACGAAACACAGGUGCUGCAUGGCUGUCGUCAGCUCGUGUCGUGAGAUGUUGGGUUAAGUCCCGCAACGAGCGCAACCCUCACUUUUAGUUGCCAUCAUUUAGUUGGGCACUCUGAAAGAACUGCCAGUGAUAAGCUGGAGGAAGGUGGGGAUGACGUCAAGUCCUCAUGGCCCUUACGUGUUGGGCUACACACGUGCUACAAUGGUAUUUACAACAGGAAGCAAGACGGCGACGUUAAGCAAAUCCUCAAAAAAUACCUCAGUUCGGAUUGCACUCUGCAACUCGAGUGCAUGAAGCUGGAAUUACUAGUAAUCGUGGAUCAGCGUGCCACGGUGAAUGCGUUCCCGGGUCUUGUACACACCGCCCGUCA
rnacentral:rRNA from 1 species